rnacentral:lncRNA from 1 species
UAAACCUGGGGCCUGUUUAUCGAAACUGUCCUAAGUUCCGUCCUAAGAAUUUCUUAGGACAGAAUUUAGGAUAAAGUUAGGACCGACUUACGACACGUCUCAGCAUGCACAUCGAAGCUAUCUUAGGAAUAUCUUAGCUAGGACGUCCUAACCGAUGUCCUAAGUAUUGGCGGAAAAGAAAAUACAAAUUAAAUAUGAAAAAAAAAUAUGAUAUCAAAUUUUAUCAAUAUUUUUUGUUUUUUUUUAAAUAUGAUUAAUUAGAAACUAGUUUUAGAUUAAACGUAAUAAAUAAUUGUACAUUUAAUCUGUGUAAAACAAAACAGAAGAAAAAAAAUAACUACAAAUUAUCAAACUAAUUGUAAACAAGAUAUAAUUAUAAUCGGUAAAAAUCAUUACAUGUUUUUGAGUGAGUUGAAUUCGAGGUGUCACGGUUUUAUUCUUCAACAGUUGAAAGGCAAAUCUCGUGCAUUUUUCAAAUAAAUACGGAGACUUUCAACUAAUUUACUACUGCUAAAAAAUAAUACGUGUGAAAAUGAGCAAAAGACGAAAUUAGAAUAUAUCCUAAAGUUAGGACCAUCCUAAGACCCUCUUAAGACACCUAAAUUGAUAUCCUAAAGUUAGGACAAUUCCUAGGAUUUUCCUAAGUUGAGACAUGUUUGAUAAACCCAUUUAGGACUAAGAUGUGUCCUAAGUUGGUCUUAGGACACGUCCUAAUCCUAAGAGAGCUUCGAUAAACAGGCCCCUGA